GACGAACGCUGGCGGCGUGCUUAACACAUGCAAGUCGAACGGAAAGGCCCUGCUUUUGUGGGUUGCUCGAGUGGCGAACGUGUGAGUAACACGUGUGUAACCUGCCCUUGACUUUGGGAUAACUUCAGGAAACUGUGGCUAAUACCGGAUAGGAGCUCCUUCUGCAUGGUGUGGGUUGGAAAGUUUCGGCGGUUGGGGAUGGACUCGCGGCUUAUCAGCUUGUUGGUGGGGUAGUGGCUUACCAAGGCUUUGACGGGUAGCCGGCCUGAGAGGGUGACCGGCAACAUUGGGACUGAGAUACGGCCCAGAAUGCUACGGGAGGCAGCAGUGGGGAAUAUUGCACAAUGGGCGGAAGCAUGAUGCAGCAAAGCCGCGUGCGGGAUGACGGCCGUCGGGUUGUAAACAGAUUUCGAAUGUGACGAAGAGGGAGUGACGGUAAUGGGUAAAGAAGCACCGGCUAACUACGUG
rnacentral:rRNA from 1 species